ensembl:lncRNA novel transcript
GAGUCUGUGGCUCAGCCAUCGUGACUAUGUAACCAGUAUUGGUCGGUGGCCCAAGGUCUCUCUCCUUUCAGGGUUCAACCUCCAACCUUAUUUCUGCUUCCUUCAUGUUGGAAUUCACACUGUGAGAAUUGUUGUCAUCCUUUCUCUACGACUCCAAGAGAAACUUUAUACUGGAGGAAGAAUAUUCUACCACUUUGGGAUGCUUCCAAAGAAAUGGGAUACCAAAGGAGUGAACUUCAGGUCAUUGGAAGUGGCCAAGCUGGAGGGCGACCUAUGGAGACAUGACCUUCAGUUCUUCCUGAGAUCGAUAAAGCUUAAAAGAAAAGAAAAAGCCAACUCAGCUUGUGCGUGGAUCCUGGACCUUGCUCUAAUACAGACCCCGCUCCUGGAGUGGGCCAUUAGGGACGAAAUCACACCGAUGGAAUGAAAGGGAAAAUAACCAAAGACAACAGCAACAGCUCAAAACACCAGAAAAAGCAGCAACACUAUAUCUAUCCGUCACUGGCCCAACUCGACAUCUGGAAAAGAACCCAGAGUAGCUGCCAACCAGAUGGCCCCUUGGUGACCGUGAAGCUGCAGCCUCUGACAUGAUAUGUAGAUAAAAGACGUCACGGGGAUAAGAGCUAGAGAAAGCUUUAACGAGAAGAGCUUAGACCAUUUUCAAAGCUCCUCCACAGUGCACGGAGGGGCCCAAAGCUGGCGGAGCGCUGGGCGACACGCUCCCGCUCGCACCAAGGCCUCGCUCUGAUGAGCUGGGCAAUUGGGAGACUGUUUGAACAAACCAAAGAAAAAUAUCAAAAGGCAAAUUGGAGUUAGGGAGAAAAUGAAUAGCCCAUGAUCUCCAAGGGAGAUUACAGAGGUAAUGACAAAGCAGGCAGGUUUUUAGAGGCGCUGUUAUUCCAAGAAAGGUAAUUUUGUUCAACUUAUUUUUUUUUUAACGGAAAAGAGGAUGAAGAGAUCAGCACUAGCUAAAUCAUCACUGUCAGAUAAAAGAUAAAUCUUUCAUUAGGAACCAUAUCUUUGCAUGCCCUUUUGACAUUGAAGAAUAUAUUUGAUGUAAGGAUUUGGGGCUUUAUCAAAACUAUAGUAUUCUAAAAUAAACAAAACCACAAUGUC